AGUGAACGCUGGCGGUAGGCCUAACACAUGCAAGUCGAACGGCAGCACAGUAAGAGCUUGCUCUUACGGGUGGCGAGUGGCGGACGGGUGAGGAAUACAUCGGAAUCUACUUUUUCGUGGGGGAUAACGUAGGGAAACUUACGCUAAUACCGCAUACGACCUACGGGUGAAAGCAGGGGAUCUUCGGACCUUGCGCGAUUGAAUGAGCCGAUGUCGGAUUAGCUAGUUGGCGGGGUAAAGGCCCACCAAGGCGACGAUCCGUAGCUGGUCUGAGAGGAUGAUCAGCCACACUGGAACUGAGACACGGUCCAGACUCCUACGGGAGGCAGCAGUGGGGAAUAUUGGACAAUGGGCGCAAGCCUGAUCCAGCCAUACCGCGUGGGUGAAGAAGGCCUUCGGGUUGUAAAGCCCUUUUGUUGGGAAAGAAAAGCAGCAGGUUAAUACCCUGCUGUUCUGACGGUACCCAAAGAAUAAGCACCGGCUAACUUCGU
rnacentral:rRNA from 1 species